ACCUGAUUCAGCGGCGGACGGGUGAGUAAUGCCUAGGAAUCUGCCCGAUAGUGGGGGACAACGUUUCGAAAGGAACGCUAAUACCGCAUACGUCCUACGGGAGAAAGUGGGGGAUCUUCGGACCUCACGCUAUCGGAUGAGCCUAGGUCGGAUUAGCUAGUUGGUGAGGUAAUGGCUCACCAAGGCGACGAUCCGUAACUGGUCUGAGAGGAUGAUCAGUCACACUGGAACUGAGACACGGUCCAGACUCCUACGGGAGGCAGCAGUGGGGAAUAUUGGACAAUGGGCGAAAGCCUGAUCCAGCCAUGCCGCGUGUGUGAAGAAGGUCUUCGGAUUGUAAAGCACUUUGAGUUGGGAGGAAGGGCAGUAAGCUAAUACCUUGCUGUUUUGACGUUACCAACAGAAUAAGCACCGGCUAACUUCGUGCCAGCAGCCGCGGUAAUACGAAGGGUGCAAGCGUUAAUCGGAAUUACUGGGCGUAAGGCGCGCGUAGGUGGUUCAGCAAGUUGGAUGUGAAAUCCCCGGGCUCAACCUGGGAACUGCAUCCAAAACUACUGAGCUAGAGUACGGUAGAGGGUGGUGGAAUUUCCUGUGUAGCGG
rnacentral:rRNA from 1 species